GGUUGUGGCUCAAUGGCAGAGUGUUUGUCUAGCAUGUAUGAGGCACUGGGUUCAAUUCUCAGCACCA
rnacentral:tRNA from 1 species